CAUGCACCGAGCAUGUUAGGAAGAGAGCAGAGAAAUUCAAAUGCGGUUUGGCCCGAAGUGGGGUAUCUGUCGCCGUUGCUUGAGUGAGGCCUUGUAAACAUCCAGUCCGUAACGUCCAGUUUGCACCCUUGGUAGGCGGAGAGAGGGGGCUCCAGUACCUGAUGAACUGGGAGGGCUAAGGCCUCCAAGAAUGCUACUGCCCCGCCCACAACAUCUUGGACCCCCUCCCUCAUCAGGGACUUCCACCGGUCCCAUGCUGACCAGCCUGGGGAUUUCGGGAGACCAGGUGGAAGAGAUAAGGGAGCGAUUGUGGUGCGACUGGCUGGUGGAUGGGAGAUGCCACACCAGCAGGCAUCGGCUGACAGUGAUGAACGAGCCGUCCGACCCUCUGAUAAUUCGUCACUCAUGGGCAGAGAGAGGUCCAUUAAUCAAAACAAGCGUGGCGGCGCCACAUUUUCUACCACCGACCUUUUUCCUCCCACCUCCUCCAGACCCCAGUUACUCCACCCUAACCUGAGGUGGGAUGACUUGUCUAGGUGGCUAGCAGCAACCGGCAGUAGCACUGAAUGGAGUUCCUGAAUGUAUUCAUGCUAAGCGGGAGGGGGAUGUAGAAGGGUAGUGCCCAUUCACCCAGGGCUUUCUAUCUAAAACUAUGUUCAGACUGCAGGUCUUAAUACUCAGUACUGUUUUUUUUUUGUUUAAGUUCAUUUUUUUUUUAAAUUCUGGUUCCAUUGGUCACAUCCGUUGCUGAAAAUGACUCAUAUCUGAUAUCCAAUAUCACUGA